AUUGAACGCUGGCGGCAGGCCUAACACAUGCAAGUCGAACGAGUGGCGGACGGGCGAGUAAUGUCUGGGAAACUGCGUGAUGGAGGGGGAUAACUACUGGAAAAGGUAGCUAAUACCGCAUACCAUCAGAUGUGCUCUGAUGGGAUUAGCUAGUUGGGGGGGUAACGGCUCACCAAGGCGACGAUCCCUAGCUGGUCUGAGAGGAUGACCGGCCACACUGGAACUGAGACACGGUCCAGACUCCUACGGGAGGCAGCAGUGGGGAAUAUUGCACAAUGGGCGCAAGCCUGAUGCAGCCAUGCCGCGUGUAUGAAGAAGGCCUUCGGGUUGUAAAGUACUUUCAGCGGGGAGGCGUUAUCCGCAGAAGAAGCACCGGCUAACUCCGUGCCAGCCGCCGCGAUAAUAC
rnacentral:rRNA from 1 species